GCAAAGCACUCCUACGGGAGGCAGCAGUGGGGAAUAUUGCUACAAUGGGCGCAAGCCUGAUGCAGCCAUGCCGCGUGUAUGAAGAAGGCCUUCGGGUUGUAAAGUACUUUCAGCAGUGAGGAAGGUGGGUAUGUUAAUAGCAUAUUCAUUUGACGUUAGCUGCAGAAGAAGCACCGGCUAACUCCGUGCCAGCAGCCGCGGUAAUACGGAGGGUGCGAGCGUUAAUCGGAAUUACUGGGCGUAAAAGCGCAUGCAGGUGGUUUGUUAAGUCAGAUGUGAAAGCCCGGGGCUCAACCUCGGAAUUGCAUUUGAAACUGGCAAACUAGAGUACUGUAGAGGGGGUAGAAUUUCAGGUGUAGCGGUGAAAUGCGUAGAGAUCUGAAGGAAUACCGGUGGCGAAGGCGGCCCCCUGGACAGAUACUGACACUCAGAUGCGAAAGCGUGGGGAGCAAACAGGAUUAGAUACCCUCGUAG
rnacentral:rRNA from 1 species